rnacentral:rRNA from 1 species
AUGGUAGCCACACUGCCGGGAGUUGCAGGAAAGUCCGUACGUCUAUCUUUGUGUUCUCGCUUGUCGGAGCGGUCCUUCUCUACCUCAUCAUUCAAUGGGUUGCUCCUAUGGUGCCCAAGCCAAAAUUUAUCAGGGACUGGAUCAAGUGGAUGGAAGGAGAGCAGAAUUACAUACCAAGCUGGGUUGCAUCCCCCAGGCGGGUUUUGGCCAGACAGUCGAGAUGGGCAUCUUGCUGGAGAUCCAAUCCUAGAGGCCAUCCAUCCCAUGCGGUACAAGACAUUCUUCUACUGCAACGCCACUGCAUUUGUGGCGUCAUUGGUUAUCAUCACCCUACUCCAGAGCCAGUUGAUCACCAUAGGUGCCAUGAAACGAAUCAUGAUAGAAGCAUCGAAGUAA